AUUGAACGCUGGCGGCAUGCCUUACACAUGCAAGUCGAACGGCAGCGGGGGAGAAGCUUGCUUUUCCUGCCGGCGAGUGGCGAACGGGUGAGUAAUACAUCGGAACGUGCCCUGUAGUGGGGGAUAACUAGUCGAAAGAUUAGAUAAUACCGCAUUCGACCUGAGGGUGAAAGUGGGGGACCGCAAGGCCUCAUGCUAUAGGAGCGGCCGAUGUCUGAUUAGCUAGGUGGUGGGGUAAAGGCCUACCAAGGCGACGAUCAGUAGCUGGUCUGAGAGGCCGAUCAGCCACACUGGGACUGAGACACGGCCCAGACUCCUACGGGAGGCAGCAGUGGGGAAUUUUGGACAAUGGGCGAAAGCCUGAUCCAGCAAUGCCGCGUGUGUGAAGAAGGCCUUCGGGUUGUAAAGCACUUUUGUCCGGAAAGAAAUGGCUCUGGUUAAUACCUGGGGUCGAUGACGUUACCGGAAGAAUAAGGACCGGCUAACUACGUGCCAGCAGCCGCGUAA
rnacentral:rRNA from 1 species